ACCCCCCUCACCACUCCCUUUCUUUGAAGGACUUUCCCUAUCAAGGACCGAUGAACUGGUACUCACCAGGGAGCCGAGCAGGCUGGGAACCUGGGCUGGCUCAUCAGACGCAGAAAAUGACAGACACCAAGAGAGGAAGGUCAAGGGCAUGUUUAGUUCAGGUGAUAAGAGAUGCUCUGAACACUUCGUGAUUUGUUCCCAGUUUGCCUCAACACCAGGGCCCCAGGCCGCCUCCUAUCAGGUGAGCUCCAGCAGGGAGAUGUCUUGGGGCCACGUGC